rnacentral:tRNA from 1 species
AUCUUUCUAUUAUAAAUGCUAGUAUAAGUGACUUCCAAUUACUAAGUCUUGGUUAAAUUCCAAGGAAAGAUA